CGGACGGGUGAGUAAUGUCUGGGAAACUGCCUGAUGGAGGGGGGUAACUACUGGAAACGGUAGCUAAUACCGCAUAACGUCGCAAGACCAAAGAGGGGGACCUUCGGGCCUCUUGCCAUCGGAUGUGCCCAGAUGGGAUUAGCUAGUAGGUGGGGUAAAGGCUCACCUAGGCGACGAUCCCUAGCUGGUCUGAGAGGAUGACCAGCCACACUGGAACUGAGACACGGUCCAG
rnacentral:rRNA from 1 species